AUUGAACGCUGGCGGCAGGCCUAACACAUGCAAGUCGAGCGAGCGGCGGACGGGGGAGAAAUGUAUGGGGACUGCCCGAUAGAGGGGGAUAACUACUGGAAAAGGUAGCUAAUACCGCAUACUAUCGGAUAACCCAUAUGGGAUUAGCUAGUAGGUGAGGUAAUGGCUCACCUAGGCGACGAUCCCUAGCUGGUCUGAGAGGAUGAUCAACAACACUGGGACUGAGACACGGCCCAGACUCCUACGGAGGCAGCAGUGGGGAAUAUUGCACAAUGGGCGCAAGCCUGAUACAGCCAUGCCGCGUGUAUGAAGAAGGCCCUAGGGUUGUAAAGUACUUUCAGUCGGGAGGCGUUACCGGCAGAAGAAGCACCGACUAACUCCGUGCCAGCAGCCGCGGUAAUUC
rnacentral:rRNA from 1 species